UUUUUUUUAAACCUUGCAAGCAGACGACCCGUGAACAUGUAACCACAACGGGGUGACCGUGAUAAGGGCCUCGGUCCUUAUCCCCUAACCCUUCCCGACGUGAGUUCGUGGUGUCUUUUUUGGGGCAUCAUGGAUUCCGUUGGACCAUAACAAAACCCCGGCACGGUAUGUGCCAAGGAAAACAAAAAUGAGAAGGACACUACCUGUUUCGCCCCGUUUGCGGUGUGCGUACAGGUCGUGGCCUCCUUGGAAUCACAAACGACUCUCGGCAACGGAUAUCUCGGCUCACGCAUCGAUGAAGAACGUAGCAAAAUGCGAUACUUGGUGUGAAUUGCAGAAUCCCGUGAACCAUCGAGUUUUUGAACGCAAGUUGCGCCCGAAGCCAUCCGGCUGAGGGCACGCCUGCCUGGGCGUCACGCAUCGCGUCGCUCCCCACCAUACCUCCCCAACGGGUUGGCAUGGUGUUGGGGGCGGAUAAUGGCCUCCCGUGCUUGUGUUUCGGUUGGCCUAAAUAAGAGUUCCCUUCGGCGGACACACGACUAGUGGUGGUUGAAUAGACCCUCGUCUUUUGUUGCGUGUCGUGAGCUGUAAGGGUAGCCCUCAUCAAAGACCCCAUUGUAUCGUCUUCGGAUGAUGCUUCGACCGCGACCCCAGGUCAGGCGGGACUACCCGCUGAGUUUAAGCAUAUCAAUAAGGCGGAGGAA
rnacentral:rRNA from 1 species